rfam:Syntrophaceticus schinkii strain Sp3 genome assembly, contig: SSCH_Contig_47
AUCCCUUUUAAUCUAGUCCGGUGAGGCUGGCAAGGGGGCAGGAAGAAGGUUCAAGAGACCUCUUUGUUAGCCUGAAAUAGGUGCAAAGAGGUUUUUUAU